UCUUGUUCUUACAAAUUAAAGUAUUGAGUUUUGUAAGAUUCUUUUUAGCUAGUUAUCAAAAAGAGCUUGAGUUUUGAAGUCUAUAAAUUAAAAGGACUGUGUCUCCCGGAUAUUCCAUCACGAAACAUUAGAACUAUCAGUCUAUCACCAAACUAUACCUCUCCAUUGUGCUCUGUUUGUGAAGUUGAAUAUGGAGAAAACCGUAGAUACUCACAAAAACACAUCAUCAAAUCAAACUCUCCACCCUAACCAGAAUGACUGCCAUUGGUACGAGGAAAUCAUCGAUGAUGAUCUCAAGUGGUCUUUAGCCCUCAACAGUGUUCUCCAUCAAGGAACUAGUGAGUACCAAGACAUUGCUCUCUUAGACACCAAACGGUUUGGAAAGGUUCAUUUUCUUCAACAACUUUAUCAUAUGAAAUAAAAAUUCUGAAGUUUCUUUUUCUUUUGUUGUCAAAAAGAAAAAGAUAUCAUCGUUCAAUAAGAAAAUAUAAGAUUUCCUAAAUAUAAACUAUAGACGUACUGUAUAUGUUUCUAAUGACAUAAAUCAAUUAUAGGUAGACGAUU